rnacentral:rRNA from 1 species
UACGUAGGGUGCAAGCGUUGUCCGGAAUUAUUGGGCGUAAAGAGCUCGUAGGCGGUCUGUUGCGUCGGCUGUGAAAACCCGGGGCUCAACCCCGGGCCUGCAGCCGAUACGGGCAGACUAGAGUUCGGCAGGGGAGACUGGAAUUCCUGGUGUAGCGGUGAAAUGCGCAGAUAUCAGGAGGAACACCGGUGGCGAAGGCGGGUCUCUGGGCCGAUACUGACGCUGAGGAGCGAAAGCGUGGGGAGCAAACAGG